rnacentral:tRNA from 1 species
CCAGGCCCAGCAAGGUGAUUACGCGUGGGCGCUGUGGCGGCCCUAUGCCUGCUGCGAGCGCAGGGGCCAGGU